AGAAGGAAGAGAAGGGAUAUCAUGGCUGUGGCAAGCCAGGGUCUCCCAUUCACCCAGAGGCAGGAGCCUUGAUGAAGAGCAGCUCCGAACUCCAGCCCUCUCCACGCACACAGUUAGAACCACCAAGCUGGCCUGAGUAGGAAGAGACCUCAGAACCAGCAAGCUCCCCUGCUUCAUGGAGAAGAGAAUGCGCAGGGCUACAACUUGCUGGACUUGUUAAAUGAAAAGGCUGUGCUCCACAGAGGCAUCUGCAGGUCAGAAACUGAAUAAACUACAGAGGAAUGACCUGGACCAAGAGCCAAAGGCAUUUAAUUAUUGAAAGACUGUGGGGAGUGCACACCUAUUCUUUUAAGUGUAGAAGAGAAUUAUCCCUCACUGGCUUUCUGUUUUCUGAGUACUGGACCUGUCAACAAAGCAAGUCAGGAAAGGAGCUCAUGAUCUGCUUCCAGCAGCAGUACCUCCAGAAGAUGUGUGGCUAGCUCUCCAUCACCACUCGCGGCCUCUGUGCCUGCGUCUGUAUCUGUGUUCUUGGUGCCCACAUAUCCUCCUCCCUGCUCCCUCACGCAAGUCCUUGGUUUAGCGCACAGGCACACAUCUUCACACAUCAUUUGAAUAAACUUAAUCUGGACAAGGCAUCUGUGUCCUCCACUGCUGUAGAGUCAUCCAUUCUAUUUCACCAAAACAGAAUGGGGGGAGU